rnacentral:rRNA from 1 species
UACGGGGGGGGCAAGCGUUGUUCGGAAUUACUGGGCGUAAAGGGCUCGUAGGUGGCCAACUAAGUCAGACGUGAAAUCCCUCGGCUUAACCGGGGAACUGCGUCUGAUACUGGAUGGCUUGAGAUUGGGAGAGGGAUGCGGAAUUCCAGGUGUAGCGGUGAAAUGCGUAGAUAUCUGGAGGAACACCGGUGGCGAAGGCGGCUAUCUGGACGGUUUCUGACGCUAAGACGCGAAAGCGUGGGGAGCAAACAGG